ensembl:lncRNA novel transcript
UCAGCCUUCUGAGUAUCUGGGAUCGCAGUUGUGCACCACCACGCCCAGAAAAAUUGAGUGGUAACUGAAGAUGGCAAAACACCGCAUCAGAACGACUCAGUCACAGUGGCAAUUGUUUUGAAAGAUGAUGAAAGAAGGGCUAGCCUGAAAGAAACUUCUGCCUUCUUUGGAAAUGAGAUGCAAAAAGUAUGGCUCCCUGCUACAACAAAAAUGGAUCCCCCAAGGAGGACAUAACUGGAAUUGCUGUCAUUGUUACCCCUUUGAAAAUCUCAGCCAGCUAGAGGACCAGAGACAUUCUCAUCAAGAUUAAAGCCAGAGCAACCACCACCAACAAAUGAUGACAAAUCCCUGCCAGGAUUGGAGUGGGUUUGAAUGGCAUAGCUGGCCCCUGGUACUCCUGAGUGGUUAGAUCGUCAGUCUUACCUGUUCAUUUUGUUAACCUCAUAGUAGUACAGCAACAUAUUUUACUUGUUUGAAUUGUUUGUGUUAGAAUCAGGUAUUAACCUUGUAGGCAACAUGGAUAAUAUAUUUCUGUAGUUCAACAUAAUUUCCAUUUUAAAUUCACAAUUUAUUAGAGCAGCAGAAAAUAAUGUCAAUAAAAUUGAAGCCUCUUUUUCUUAA